rnacentral:lncRNA from 1 species
CUGACCUCUCCGGAAAAAAAGUCCUUCUCUCUUUAAGGAGUUUAACUUGCCUUCCCUCAACACAACAGGUACAAAACUUCCGUUAUUGUCUCCUUAGAUUACACACAACAUCAGCAGGAUACAGUGAUUUUUGGGUUUGUGUAGUGCCUUCCUAAGAGUGCAACAUUUUCAUUAUUAUUAUCACAAUGUGUGUGUGUGUGUGAGAGAGAGAGAGAGAGAGAGACAGAGAGACAGAGAGGAGAGAGAGGACGAGAGCACGCCAGGAUUAGGGGGAGGUUUUCACGUUGAAAGAUAGCAGUGAAGAACAAGAAUGCUGAGAUUUCUCCAGGACACACCUGUGCACUGUUGCAGAGCAGCUGAUCUCGGGGAAGGCUGGUUUUGCCACACAGGUGGUGACAGGGCGGUCUCAACAGGCUCCCAACCCAACCAAAUAAAGGUGGUUUUUCUGCAUUCCUGUAGAGAUCGUGUACACAACAGGGCUGCCAAGUGAGAAGAAAAGGCUCAGGCAGAAAAUAUCACGCUUUAGAAAACAGUGUGUGUGCAUGCGUGCGCAUGUGUGCGUGUGUGUGUUUUAAACAACUAUUUUAGUUACUUUGACAAAUAAAGUGCU